CUGUCCAGACGGAGACGGCCAACGGUUAUCCAGAAACCGAAAAGGGAUAUCCAGAAACGGACCAUUCACCUAGGGAAUCCCACAGUUUGUCGUGUUGACACCCAUCACACAUUUCAACUCUUUGAUGGAGGAAUACACAUAAAACACGCUGCACCAAAGGGCCAAGCAAGAUAUGGGGAGAUAUUGCUCGGUCCAGUAGCCAGGACUUUCGCUGCUAUCCAAUGCGUACUGGAGACGUACUUUAAAAUGAUGAAUGUUUCAGCAAAAGCUCUCAAAUGGACUUUCGCGGCAAACGAAUGUGGUACUCCCAAGUUU